ACAAGCGGUGGAGCAUGUGGUUAAUUCGAAGCAACGCGAAGAACCUUACCAGGUCUUGACAUCCCGAUGCUAUUUCUAGAGAUAGAAGUUACUUCGGUACAUCGGUGACAGGUGGUGCAUGGUUGUCGUCAGCUCGUGUCGUGAGAUGUUGGGUUAAGUCCCGCAACGAGCGCAACCCCUAUUGUUAGUUGCCAUCAUUCAGUUGGGCACUCUAGCGAGACUGCCGGUAAUAAACCGGAGGAAGUGGGGAUGACGUCAAAUCAUCAUGCCCCUUAUGACCUGGGCUACACACGUGCUACAAUGGUUGGUACAACGAGUUGCGAGUCGGUGACGGCGAGCUAAUCUCUUAAAGCCAAUCUCAGUUCGGAUUGUAGGCUGCAACUCGCCUACAUGAAGUCGGAAUCGCUAGUAAUCGCGGAUCAGCACGCCGCGGUGAAUACGUUCCCGGGCCUU
rnacentral:rRNA from 1 species